rnacentral:rRNA from 1 species
AGAGUUUGAUCCUGGCUCAGGACGAACGCUGGCGGCGUGCCUAAUACAUGCAAGUCGAGCGAGGGUCUUCGGACCCUAGCGGCGGACGGGUGAGUAACACGUAGGCAACCUGCCCGUAAGAUCGGGAUAACAUAGGGAAACUUAUGCUAAUACCGGAUAGAGUUCAUUCUCGCAUGAGAGAGAACGGAAAGGUGGCGCAA